rnacentral:lncRNA from 1 species
UGCACCCAAAUUUUUAUGCUGAUGAUUGUGCAAUGACCGUACUUGGGCUAAGAGAUAGUGUCCUAUAUCUGUUGAAUCAAAUAGGGUGGGAAACCACUCCUAUUCGGAGACAAUUUGUUACUUACCGGAGGCUAACUCUAGAAUUCCUUAGCUCCCUGAUUUAUUUACCGAACCAUGGAAAAGGAAUAAACCGAGGUUUCAUUCAAUUCAGGAUGUUCAAUAUGGAGUAUCAGUAUAACAUU